GGCUCUUCCAGUCUCUUCCAGUUUCUUCCAGUUUCUUCCAGGCUCUUCCAGUCUCUGAAUAAAGCAGGUACUGAAUGUUUGUGUGGAUGUCCUGCCCAGCUGAAGUUUUCUUUCACACAUUAAUAUUAUGGACCAAAGAGAUUUUUUGAACAAAGUUUGAUAUGUGAGACAACCUUUCCGUUUGACGGCCGGUUCCCACGGGGGAGGCGGUGACACGGCGGCGGUGACACGGCGGCGGCUGCCAUGCCGACAAGCGACCGUCACCCCCCACCUCACCCCACCCUCACCCGUUCAUUCCUCCUCCUCAGAUAAACACCUUGUUUCAGAAUAACUUUUUAGUUAUUUUUUGCACCAUGUCAGUAUCAGUGGAGCCCAAAGUGGUUCUGGAGGCCCAGGAACCUGCCUGAUUUAGAUCCACCCCUGGUGGGAGAGAACCAGGGGGAUGUUCUCCAAUGUUCUCCAAUGUUCUUCAAUGUUCUUCAAUGUUCUCCAAUGUUCUCCAAUG